GCCGGAGGAAGGUGGGGACGACGUCAAGUCAUCAUCGGCCCUUAUGUCCAGGGCGACACACGUGCUACAAUGGCCGGCACAGGCGGGAAGCGAAGGGGCGACUCUGAGCGGAUCCCUUAAAGCCGGUCCCAGUUCGGAUUGCAGUCUGCAACUCGACUGCAUGAAGUUGGAAUCGCUAGUAAUCGUGGAUCAGCCAAGCCGCGGUGAAUACGUUCCCGGGCCUU
rnacentral:rRNA from 1 species